UACGAGGGGGGCAAGCGUUGUUCGGAAUUAUUGGGCGUAAAGGGCGCGUAGGCUGUGCUGUAAGUCAGGCGUGAAAGGCCCGGGCUCAACCUGGGAAUGGCGCUUGAUACUGCGGCGCUGGAAGGUGGGAGAGGAUGGCGGAAUUCCCAGUGUAGAGGUGAAAUUCGUAGAUAUUGGGAAGAACACCGGUGGCGAAGGCGGCCAUCUGGCCCACAUUUGACGCUGAGGCGCGAAAGCGUGGGGAGCAAACAGG
rnacentral:rRNA from 1 species